GCGACUGUAGUCUCGAGAGCGUUUUCCCGGCGGAUCCUCCCUGCCUAAGUAGCUUGGAACAGCUCAUCAGAGAGGGUGACAAUCCCGUUCGCGGCAGGGCGGGCCGUCCACGAUACGCUUUCCACGAGUCGGGUUGCUUGGGAAUGCAGCCCAAAAUUGGUGGUAAACUCCAUCUAAAGCUAAAUAUUGGCACGAGACCGAUAGCGAACAAGUACCGUGAGGGAAAGAUGAAAAGAACUUUGAAAAGAGAGUUAAAAAGUGCGUGAAACCGUUAGAGGGGAAACGGAUGCAGUUAGCAACGCCCCCGCGAGAUUCAGGUGGACCUGUCUGGCGAGCUGUGCAAUUGGUGGAUCUGAAUGGACCGUCGUUGCAUCGCCUCGUCUCUCGUCCGCCGCACUUCUCGCGAGGGUGCGUCAACAGCUGCUGGCACAUCGGUCUACACGGCACCUGCGGAAGGUAGGCGUCCGGCUCUGGCCGGGUGUUGUUAUAGCCGCUAGUGUCCCAGUCCGUCGCCGGCAGAGGUGAGCGGUGCAUGCUCGCUCGUUCGCGCGCGUGGGCUGGCGUCCUGUGGCGUUCUUCGAGUCCUCCGGGGUGCACUGCGUGCAGUGCAUCACUCAGGGUGAGGAGGCGUGCAGUCAACGCACACAAUGCACCAUGGUUGUUGGCGGCCAUAUGGCUUUAUCCGACCCGUCUUGAAACACGGACCAAGGAGUCUAACAUGUGCGCGAGUCCUGGGGUGACCGAAACCCAGAGGCACAAUGAAAGUGAAGGCUGACUCGCUUCAGCCGAGGUGAGAUCCCUCGUCCCACGGGGCAGGCGCAUCAUCGACCGACCUGUCUACUCUUAGAAAGGUUUGAGUAUGAGCGUACAUGCU
rnacentral:rRNA from 1 species